rnacentral:rRNA from 1 species
AACGAACGCUGGCGGCAGGCUUAACACAUGCAAGUCGAGCGCUUCACUUCGGUGAGGAGCGGCGGACGGGUGAGUAACGCGUGGGAACGUACCCUUUACUUCGGAAUAGCCACUGGAAACGGUGAGUAAUACCGGAUGCGCCCUUAGGGGGAAAGAUUUAUCGGUAAAGGAUCGGCCCGCGUUAGAUUAGGUAGUUGGUGGGGUAAUGGCCUACCAAGCCUACGAUCUAUAGCUGGUUUGAGAGGAUGAUCAGCCACACUGGGACUGAGACACGGCCCAGACUCCUACGGGAGGCAGCAGUGGGGAAUCUUAGACAAUGGGGGCAACCCUGAUCUAGCCAUGCCGCGUGUGUGAAGAAGGCCUUAGGGUCGUAAAGCACUUUCGCCUGUGAUGAUAAUGACAGUAGCAGGUAAAGAAACCCCGGCUAACUCCG